UACGUAGGUGGCAAGCGUUGUCCGGAAUUAUUGGGCGUAAAGGGCUCGCAGGCGGUUCCUUAAGUCUGAUGUGAAAGCCCCCGGCUCAACCGGGGAGGGUCAUUGGAAACUGGGGAACUUGAGUGCAGAAGAGGAGAGUGGAAUUCCACGUGUAGCGGUGAAAUGCGUAGAGAUGUGGAGGAACACCAGUGGCGAAGGCGACUCUCUGGUCUGUAACUGACGCUGAGGCGCGAAAGCGUGGGGAGCAAACAGG
rnacentral:rRNA from 1 species